AGGUGUGGCAUGAAGUGAUCAGCCCGUGGCACUGCUGAGGCACUAUUGAGCCUUCAGCUCCUCUGUAUUGUUGGAUCGACCGUUUCUUAUCUUUCUCUUGAAAAUAUCCCAUAGAUUCCAUAUGGGGUUCAUGUCAGGCAUGUUGGCUGCCUAAUCAAGCACAGUCAUAUCCUGGUCAGUAAACCACUUGGAAGUGGUUUUAGCACUGUGGGCAGGUGCUAAAGUCCUGCUGGAAAAGGAAAUCAGCAUCUCCAUAAAGCUUGUCAGCAGAUGGAAGCAUAAAGUGCUCCAAAAUCUCCUGGUAGAUGGCUGCAUUGACUUUGGACUUGAUAAAACAAAAUGGACCAACACCUGCAGACAUCAUGGCACCCCAAAUCAUCACUGACUUCAGAAACUUCACACUGAACUUCAAGCAGCUUUGGAUUCUGUGCCUCUGAGCAACAGUCCAGUUAUUUUUCUCCUUAGCCCAGGUAAGAUGCUUCUGAGAUUGUUUCUAUUUCAGAAGUGCCUUGGUAGCCCAUUUCAGAAUCAGAAUCAGAAAGAGCUUUAUUGCCAAGUAUGCUUACGCAUACAAGGAAUUUGUUUUAGUGACAUAAGAUUCCAGUACACAGAGACAACAACAACACACACACAAAAAACAAAAAAAAAACAACAACAAAACAAAUUGCAAAUAAAUAAAUUGUAUGAACAGUUGUGCUAUAGAUGACAAUGGAAUAGAAUUGGGUAAGAUGCAGAGAUGUACUUGGAUGGAAAUAAAUAAAAGAAUAUUGCAAAAUUGUUUGCAUAAGAGGGGAACAUUUAACUGUUCAUGAGGUAGAUUGCCUGGGGGAAGAAACUGUUCUUGUGCCUGACUGUCCUGGUGUUUGCGGCUCUGAAGCGCCGGCCAGAUGGCAAAAGUUCAAAAAGGGGGUAACUUGGAUGAGAGGGAUCCAGAGUGAUUUUCUGAGCCCUUUUCCUCACUCUGGAUGUAUACAGUUCUUGAAGGGUGGGCAGGGGAGCACCAAUAAUUCUUUCAGCAGUCCGAACCGUUCUCUGUAGUCUUCUGAUGUCUGAUUUUGUAGCUGAACCAAACCAGACAGUUAUUGAAGUGCACAGGACAGACUCAAUGACGGCUGAAUAGAACUGUUUCAGCAGCUCCUGUGGCAGGUUAAAGGUUAUAAUUUCCUGAAGACAUCUGGGAGUGGUGACUGUGGAUGCACUGACUCCAGCUUCAGUCCACUCCUUGUGAAGCUCUCUCAAGUGUUUGAAUCAGCUUUGCUUGACAGUAUUCUAAAGCUUGCGGUCAUCCUUGUUGCUUGUGCACCUUUUCCUACCCAAUUUCUUCCUUCCAGUCAACUUUGCAUUUAAUAUGCUUUGAUACAGCACUCAGUGAACAGCCAGCCCUUUCAGUAAUGACCUUCUGUGACUUAUCCACUUUGUGGAGGGUGUCAAUGAUUGUCUUCUGGACCAUUGCCAAGUCAGCAGUCUUCCCCAUUAUUGUGGUUUCAAAGAAUAAGUGAUACCCAGAAUUUAAACUGUAGGGAUUGUCAUUUAAUGAAACUCAAAUGUAAAUAUUCUAAUAUUUUGAGAUACUGGAUUUUUGACUGGAUUCGUGAGCUGUAAGCUCUAAUCAACAAAAAUAAUAAUAAUUUUUAAAAAAAAUUUAAAAAUGUAAAAUGUUUUACUUCACAUGUAAUGUGCAUUGUUAAUCCUUUUGAUCUUUUAUUUAAAAAAAUCUAACCUUUCAUUGGAUAAUAAAAAUUUAAAAUGGGGGGAAAUAUCAUUCUAAAAUGAAUGCUUUUCUCAAAUAUACGUUGGACACAAUUAUUGGCACCCCUAGAAAUUCUUGUGAGUAAAAUAUCUCAAAAGUAUAUUCCCAUUCAUAUUCACAAUUUUGAGCACUCCAGGGUGAUUAUGAACAUUAUCCAUCUAAGGCUUCCUGUUUUACAAAAAUAUAAAUAUGAGGGAAAACAAAGCCCAAAAUCCCUUAAUCAUCCAUCACAAUGAGAAAAACCAAAGAAUAUAUUUCUGAUGUGCAGCAAAAGAUAAUUGUGGGUUUAAGAAAAGAGCUAGAGCAGUGAAAAUUCCCAUUUCCACCAUCAGGGCAAUAAUUAAGAAUUUCCAAUCAACAGAAUAUGUUAUAUAUCUGUGUGGAAGAGGACGUGUCUCUAUAUCAUCCUAAUGCACAGUGAGAAGGAGAGUUUGAGUGGCUAAAGACUCUCCAAGGACCACAGCUGGAGAAUUGCAGAAAAAAAGUUGAGUCUUGGGGUCAGAAAACCUUUAAAAAACUGUCAAACAGCACCUACAUCACCACAUGUUGUUUGGGAGGGUUUCAAGAAAAAUUCUCCUAGCUCAUCCAAAAACAAACUCCAGCAUAUUCAGUUAUCAGCCAUGACUGGAACUUCAAAUGGGACUGGCUUCUAUGGUCAGAUGAAACUAAAAAAUGAGCUUUUUAGCAGCAAACACUCAAGAUAGGUUUGGUGAACACAGGGAUAAAAAGUACCCCAUGUGUACAAUGAAAUAUACUGCUGUAUAUUUGAUGUUGUGGGCCUAUAUUUCUGCUGGAGGUCCUGGACAUCUUGUUUAGCACAUGGCAUCAUGGAUUCUAUCAAAUACCAACAGAUAAAAAAAAAUCACUAAGUGACUGACUCUUAUAAUGAGCCAUGUUUGGAUUUUCCAACCGUACAAUAAUCCAAACACAAACCUCAAAAACAACACAAAAAUGGGUCACUGAGCACAAAACCAAGCUUCUGCUAUGGCCAUUCCAGUCCUCUGACCUGAACCCUAUAGAAAAUGAGAGGAGUGAACUGAAGAGAAGAAGCACCAUGAAGGAAUGGUCUCUGAUCUCUUGUCAGGUGUUCUCUAACCUCAUCAAGCAUUAUAGGAGAACAUUUAGAGCUGUUAAACUGGCAAAUUGAGGUUUCAAAAAGUUUUUUUUUUUUUUUUUUCGAACUUUUAUUGAAUAAAAGGGUGCUGUUAAUUGUGGCCAGUGUUUAUAAGAGAAAACCAUUUAUUUCAUAAUGAUAUUUCCCCCCAUUUUAAAUUCUUAUUAUCCAAUGAAAGGUUAGAUUUUUGUGAUUGUUUUAAAAAAUAAAAGAUCAAAAGGAUUAACAAUGCAGAUUAAUUUUCACAGCCUUCUCUGGUCAUAUUUACCAAGGGUGCCGAUAUUUUCAGCCAUAA
ensembl:lncRNA